rnacentral:rRNA from 1 species
CGAUUUACGGAUUGAGACUUCGGUCGAUUGAAGUAAAUGAAAGCGGCGAAAGGGAGAGUAACGCGUGGAUAUCUGCCCUUGGCUCCAGGAUAGCUACGGGAAACUGUGGGUAAUACUGGAUAAUAUCUCCGGAUCAAAGGUGUGAUUCCGGCCGAGGAUGAGUCCGCGUCCUAUUAGGUAGUUGGCGGGGUAAAGGCCCACCAAGCCGAAGAUGGGUACCGGGUGUGAGAGCAUGGCCCGGCUCACUGGGACUGAGACACUGCCCAGACGUCUACGGAUGGCUGCAGUCGAGAAUCUUCCGCAAUGGGCGAAAGCCUGACGGAGCGACGCCGCGUGCGGGAUGAAGGCCUUCGGGUUGUAAACCGCUGUCAGUUGGGAGGAAGUGCUAUGGGGUUCUCCUCAUAGCUUGACCGAUCUUCAGAGGAAGUACGGGCUAAGUACGUGCCAGCAGCCGCGGUAAUACGUACCGUACGAACGUUAUUCGGAAUUACUGGGCUUAAAGAGUCCGUAGGCGGCUUUAAAGGUGAGGUGUGAAAUCCCACGGCUUAACCGUGGAAUUGCGCUUCAAACCAUAAGGCUUGAGGGAGAUAGAGGAAAGCGGAACUGAUGGUGGAGCGGUGAAAUGCGUUGAUAUCAUCAGGAACACCGGUGGCGAAAGCGGCUUUCUGGGUCUCUUCUGACGCUGAGGGACGAAAGCUAGGGGAGCGAACGGGAUUAGAUACCCCGGUAGUCCUAGCUGUAAACGAUGAGCACUAGUUCGGGGGGACCCCCACAUCCUUUUGGACGUAGCGAAAGUGUUAAGUGCUCCGCCUGGGAGUAUGGUCGCAAGGC